AAAAGUCAAACUAAACAUGUAGAAACGAGAUGCAUCUCUGUUUUGGACGGGAGUUCGACUCUCCCCGCCUCCACAG
rnacentral:tmRNA from 1 species